GUCUCAGUUCGGAUUGGAGGCUGAAACCCGCCUCCAUGAAGUUGGAUUCGCUAGUAAUCGCGCAUCAGCCAUGGCGCGGUGAAUACGUUCCCGGGCCUUGUACACACCGCCCGUCAAGCCAUGGGAGCCGGGGGUGCCUGAAGUUCGUGACCGCAAGGAGCGACCUAGGGCAAAACUGGUGACUGGGGCUAAGUCGUAACAAGGUAUC
rnacentral:rRNA from 1 species